UUCGGCCAUAUCAGCUUGAAACACCGGUUCUCUUCCGAUCACCGAAGUUAAGGAACGUUGAGCCUGGUCAGUAUCUAGAUGGGUGGCCUUUUUAGAAUCUCACUUGUAGU